GUAACCUACGGGGGGCAGCAGUGAGGAAUAUUGGUCAAUGGGCUAAGGCCUGAACCAGCCAAGUCGCGUGAGGGAAGACGGUCCUAUGGAUUGUAAACCUCUUUUGUCGGGGAGCAACGAGGCCACGUGUGGCCGAAGUGAGAGUACCCGAAGAAAAAGCAUCGGCUAACUCCGUGCCAGCAGCCGCGGUAAUACGUAGGUGGCGAGCGUUAUCCGGAAUGAUUGGGCGUAAAGGGUGCGUAGGCGGCCUGCUAAGUCUGGAGUGAAAGGUACCGGCUCAACCGGUACAGGCUCUGGAAACUGGG
rnacentral:rRNA from 1 species